rnacentral:rRNA from 1 species
GUUUAGCCACAAAACUUGGACACUUACACCCUAUUCCCGCCAGAACACUACGAGCAACAGCUUAAAACUCAAGGACUUGGCGGUGUCCUAAAUCCAUCCAGAGGAGCCUGUUCUAUAAUCGAUAAUCCACGUUAAACCUCACCACUAUUUGCCAACUCAGCCUAUAUACCACCGUCGCCAGCAUACCUUACUGAAAGCAUUAAAGUAAGCAAAAAUGAUUGCACAAACACGUCAGGUCAAGGUGUAGCAUAUAUACUGGUAAGAAAUGGGCUACAUUUUUUAAAAUAAAUCACGGAUAAUAAAAUGAAAUUAUAUUUUAAGACGGAUUUGGCAGUAAGAAAAGAUCAUAAUACUUCUCUUAAACUGGCCCUAGGACGCGC